UACGUAGGGUGCGAGCGUUAAUCGGAAUUACUGGGCGUAAAGCGUGCGCAGGCGGUUCGUUAAGUCAGAUGUGAAAGCCCCGGGCUCAACCUGGGAACUGCAUUUGAAACUGGCGGGCUUGAGUAUGGCAGAGGGGGGUGGAAUUCCGCGUGUAGCAGUGAAAUGCGUAGAGAUGCGGAGGAACACCGAUGGCGAAGGCAGCCCCCUGGGCCAAUACUGACGCUCAGGCGCGAAAGCGUGGGGAGCAAACAGG
rnacentral:rRNA from 1 species